GUCACCGGGAGUUUCCCACGAGUCCAGGCUGCCAGCGGGACCGAGGACAAUCCGGCCAGCACUUACUUGACUUCUUUGAGCUUCCUGAGGCCUCCCAGGUCAGAUCGCGCCCCAGCCAGAAUCGCUAUCUGCCUGGGAUGCUCAGAGGACCGUCACGUCUGCUGCAGGUGACAACACUUUCUACUUCACCGGGACUUCUGCCCAAGUGGAUCGGGGAAGAAAGCACUGUGCUUGCUGCCCACAGUUCCGGGCACAUGACUCACUAGCCAGCACCGGUGGGUUCCGGUCUGCCUCCUUGAAGCUGCUUUGACUUGCAGUGUUUUACUGUGAUCAGGUCUACUGUUUUCCCAUGGAGAGGCUCAGCCUCCAGCAUCUGGCCUUCAGAGAAGAGACUCACCUGGCUCUUGAGAUGUGCUGUUCCCACUCUCCCCUCUGUUCCUCAGUGUCCUGGUGGGAGGUUCGCCAGCUGGGCAUGCACAGAGUGUGGGCGAGGCCUCACAUGACCAAUCCACUCUAACACUUCUGCCUCGUGAACUUUUGAACUGCUUCUUCUUUAUUAAAACAAGAGACAGUGGGCACUUGCAUGUCACAUUUAUCAGGCCGUCACUGGAUGCAUUUGACAGUCAAUCAUCCCAGUAAACUUUUAGAGCCUUUUCUAGUCACCCACUCUGCAGAUCUGAAUGCAGAGUCUCUGUCUGGCUGGCCCAAAUUAAUACGUUCCCUCUCAUCCCAAUCUAUGUUUCUUUGAACAUUCUUCUCCAAUAUGAAUUACUUACACACAUGUUCCAUGCUUUUCUGCUUGUGUGAGUCACUGCACUCAUGUAGUUCUCCCAAGGAGCAGGACACUUCCUCAGGGUCACAUGUUGUCCUUCGCAUUUAGGUUCAGCUGGCAACGGCUGCCCGAGAGCUCGCUGCUGCCAUCACACCUAGUGUGUUUCCUUUUUUUGGGGGGGGAGGGGGAGGGCACAUUUUCCAAGUCUGUGACAAAUCAGGAAUUAUUCUAGGUUCCGUCCAUACAACUCCACUAGGAAUCUUUCCAAUUUUCUCACCUUCGGCUGAACCUUUGAAAAAGUAUAAUCUAUUCAUGUCCUUAAUCCCUUCCAUUGGAUCUGGAGUCUUGGAUAUAAACUAAGUAGGCCAGCUUCAGUGAUGAUAAAGAGCAAGUCCAUGUCUGCUGCAGGGGACCACGCAGAAUUUUUUCAGAAUGUCCGUGUUGUCACACAGACAUGGGCACUAGAUGCAGCAAACCCGUUGGAGCCACCGUGCUCCUCGCUCCCCACCUGCCGAUGCUGGAGCCCAGGACCUAGAGAUUGCCUUGCUUGGCAGGAGUUUGGAUUCAGAACUCGGUUUUGUAAUCAUUAGCCAUUGAUUCUCUUUCUUUUCUCAGACAUGAUUCGUCCAUAAUUGGCUGAUGGCUGAUGCCCUACAUCACACCUUCUACUGCCCAGUCUCAACAGCUGACUCACCUGACCCUUGUUGAACAGUGUCAGCAGCCAGAAUAUAUGUAUAUUAUUCAAAACCCAAAAGAGGUGCCUCUUCUCUUGGGCACACGUGGGACUAAGAGAGUUGCUUUAAAUAUUUUACAAUUUCGGGGGGGGGGGA